CGCUGUUGGCCUGUUGCCAUGCCAUAUCCGUCGAGCUGAAGCCUGAAGCAACCACCAUUUCGAUACGCGCGAGGGAACGGGGCCGGCCGGCCGGCCGGGGAUCGGAACUGAAGUGUGGGCACACAAGAGUCACAACAGGGGGAGUGGGGGACAUUCCAAUCAGUUCCCUGCGUGUGAGCGAUGCAGCGGGACGCGAGAAGCUGGUCGCCGGCGCCGGCCACGGACGCCGCCGGCCCUUACGCGAUGCCUUCGCCCGUGCAGCCGUCGACCAAGAGCACGAAGGAGACGGUGAAGAAUGCGCUGUCGCGGUGGGGGCGGAAGGUCGGGGAGGCGACCAGGAAGGCCGAGGGCCUGUCGCGCAACACAUGGCAGCACUUGAGGACGGCGCCGAGCAUCGCGGAGGCCGCGGUGGGGAGGAUCGCGCAGGGGACCAAGGUGCUGGCGGAGGGCGGCCACGACAGGAUAUUCCGCCAGGCCUUCAGCGCCCCGCCCGACGAGCAGCUGCGCAAGUCCUACGCUUGCUACCUCUCCACGGCCGCCGGCCCGGUGAUGGGCGUCCUGUACCUGUCCACGGCCAGGGUCGCCUUCUGCAGCGACAGCCCGCUGUCCUACGAGGCUUCCGGCGGCGACAGAACGGAGUGGACCCACUACAAGGUGGCGAUUCCUCUUCAACGGCUGCGGGCGGCGAGCCCGUCGGCCAACAAGACCAAGCCCGCGGAGAAGUUCAUCCAGCUGGUGUCGGUGGACAGUCACGAGUUCUGGUUCAUGGGCUUCGUCAACUACGACGGCGCGGUUGCGCACCUGCAGGAAGCGCUGAGCGGGUUCCGCAACCUGCAGGCGUGACAUGGAGGACCUCAAUGCAAUGGACAGUGUUGUCUUGUACGUGCUCGCCAGAACUGAUUGAUCGAACAGAGCGAUUGUGUACCCGCUCUCUGUGUGUGUUGCGGUGCUAGUGUUUGCAUCGUGUUGUGCGUGUGCGGAUUUGUAUGACAUUUUUUUGAUUUGGUUGCCAUUGUCAGCGAGAGAACAGUCCAAUCAUUUUAUUCAGAUUUCAGAGAAGACCAUGGUUAUCCAUGGCGAUGGCUUUGAUGAUCACCUGCAACAUCAUCAACACAUCUAUUUUAGACGCUCUUUUGUGUUGGAUUUGAUCUCAAACUUAUAUAGGGCAUUAAUAAAUAUAAUUACU
rnacentral:misc_RNA from 1 species